rnacentral:rRNA from 1 species
AUUGAACGCUGGCGGAAGGCCUAACACAUGCAAGUCGAACGAGUGGCGGACGGGUGAGUAAUAUAUGGGAAAGUGCCUGAUAGCGGGGGAUAACUACUGGAAAAAGUGGCUAAUACCGCAUACAAUAAGAUGGGCCCAGAUGGGAUUAGCUUGUUGGUGGGGUAACGGCUCACAAAGGCGACGAUCCCUAGCUGGUCUGAGAGGAUGACCAGCCACACUGGAACGGAGACACGGUCCAGACUCCUACGGGAGGCAGCAGUGGGGAAUAUUGCACAAUGGGCGCAAGCCUGAUGCAGCCAUGCCGCGUGUAUGAUGAAGGCCUUCGGGUUGUAAAGUACUUUCAGCAGGGAGGCGUUACCCGCAGAAUAAGCACCGGCUAACUCCGUGCCAGCAGCCGCGGUAAUUC